GGGGCUCAGGCCGAUGUUGAACAGAAACUGCUCCUUCAGGAGGUUGGAGAGAGAAAGAGUUGGAUAUUUGAGGAGUUUUUGGGAGGCUUGAUGGUUGUCCCCCCCCAGACUGGGCGCCCGACGGACGGAGUCCCUCAGGGAACCCCAAGGGGGCAACUCUAGCCUCAAGGUCGGGCAUUGAACAUAAAGAAACUUCCCCUUCCAGUUAUGGAUAGAAGAAGGGGCACCUUUCAGUAACCCCUUCCUACCGAACUGUGGGGAGAAGUACCACCAAUCCUUCAUCGUGGGAUGACGCUUGAAGGUGUAGAAGUAUCUAAACAAGGAAAGGGUGGGCUGGACUUCGACUACAUGACAAAGAGAGAGGAA
rnacentral:lncRNA from 1 species